AUUUGAAAUUCUUCAUUUUUUAUGAUAAUAUUUUAUUUCGUAUAUAUGUUUAUAGGUUUAUUCGUAUCAACAAAUCUGUGUACGAGUUAAUAACGCAGCCUGGUUCCCUGCAUUUUCAGUGACAGAGAACCAGAAUAAGAUUGUAGGGAAACAAGCCUUGUUACAAGGUUUGAGGGUCUCGCUAGAAUCAUGUGGACCCCAGUGUAACAAAUCUAUGGAAAGAGAGAAAAUCUCAGCUCAAGGGUCAACAUGUCUUUAUUCCAAGAAAGAGUGUACAUAUGCCAGAAUCAUAUGGACCGCAGACUGGCCCUGGUGAUUCCGUUAAGAAAAAAGAGGAAAAAUCAGUGCUUGUGCUCAUUGGUCAUUGGACAAAGGGUGUAUGCCAGAAUUUUUUCAAGAACAGUCUGAAUCUGACAUGGAAAAAAUGAAGAAAAACAGCCUUCCUGUUUAUAAAUCUACAUUCUGACAAA